rnacentral:hammerhead_ribozyme from 1 species
ACCCAGCUGACGAGUACCAAAUAGGACGAAAUGCGCAUCGUGGAU